GUAUAAUUAGUGAAAUCCUAGGGAAAAAAAAAAGGUAUCUCCCUUUCAGGCAUAUAUGUGGUGGAAAUAUGCACAGGGCUGAGGAUGGCUUAUCAAAAACAACCCACUUUAUACAAGGAAAAUAAGUGGCACUGUGUGCUUGCCUGGAGGCAUACCCACAGCUACAUAAGAUAAGGGGAGUUGCACACACAGGUUUACUGAUAAGAGAAGUUACUCAAACUGCUACAGACAUGAGAGGAGUUUCUUAUAAAAGCUUUCGAAUUCAGAUGUAACCCAGCAAUGCACUCAGACUCCUCUCUGCUGUGGAGAGCUUUUUUUUUUUUUUUUCAUAUUAAACUUUCACUCCAACUUUAUCUUUGUGUUUACAAUUCUUAAUUUUUUUGUCUUGGAUAAAGAACAAAAAACCUGGAGUACUUCUUCAGACAACAAGAAACUUCCAAAUUAAGGUGCAUUGGCAAGAAUGCAACAUAUUUUGAUCCAUUGGCUUGGAAGGAGGGAAUUCAUCAGAAGGAGUCAAGGACACUUGUCUUGAGCUAGCUACACCCUUUCACAACUCAGUAAGGAGUGAAGACUGAUUUUGCAGAGCCAAUAAAGGCCCCUGGGGAAACUGGCCUCAUAUCUUGUCAUGAAGAUUUUAUACAGGUUUCCUAACCUGUGUGCUCACUGCUGCAAAGAAGAACAAGCACACAGGCAAAAAGUUUUCCCAGCAAGAAUGCCAGGGUGAAAGGAAAGAUCAAUUGGACCAGAGCACAAGUGCUGCUCCAGUUACUUGGCAGAGUACCUAAUAGUGAUCCACCACAAUACCACCAUAUAUCUGUUUGGGAAUAAACAAGGGCAAGUUGACUGCUUAAGAGUGAUGACAUGCAACUCAGUCUCUUGCAACACCACCUGAGAAAAGGAAGCACUAGCAGGAAGAACAAAUUGAUGGAGAGGAAAAGUGAUGAAUACAGAUAAGAAGCACAGCUGGUGGAGGCUCAUGUGCCAGUUUACUGGGCCUCAGGACAUUCUCCUCUAGAAGGAGGAGACAGCAUGACCCCCACUUUCUUUUAUUUUAUUAUAAUUUAAGUUUUAGGGUACAUGAGCACAAUGUGCAGGUUAGUUACAUAUGUAUA
rnacentral:lncRNA from 1 species